UACGGAGGGUGCAAGCGUUGUCCGGAUUUAUUGGGUUUAAAGGGUGCGUAGGCGGCUAAUUAAGUCAGCGGUGAAAUUCCACAGCUCAACUGUGGAACUGCCAUUGAUACUGGUUGGCUUGAGUACAGAUGAGGUAGGCGGAAUUGACAGUGUAGCGGUGAAAUGCUUAGAUAUUGUCAAGAACACCUAUUGCGAAGGCAGCUUACUAAACUGUAACUGACGCUGAGGCACGAAAGCGUGGGGAUCAAACAGG
rnacentral:rRNA from 1 species